UGAGAGGCCUGCAUGGGGUCUUAUUUGACCAGGCAUGCAACUUUUUUCUUUAUUUUAGGCAUGCAACUAGGAAGAAGGUCACUUAAGAGAUUGUUCAAAUGAAUAACCUUGACCUACUUUCAAUGGCAUUAAAUUUAAAUGUGUUAAUAUUUAAAAAAUAUUUCAUUGACUGAAAGGCUUUGAGUAACAAAUCAUUGGGUAAGUACUGUAGCAUGCUUAGAAGAAGGGCUAUCAAGUUUGUUGAAAUAAUUAAGUGACCUUGGCUUACAUAUAUUUAAGGUCAUAGGGGUCAGAUGUGUUGAAAUCUCCAAAUUUUCCAAGGUUAUGUAACAAUUACAAGAAAAAAAAUUAUAUAAUGGUUUUGUGUUACUUACGAAGGAUGUAGGAAAGGCGUUGGUUUUCCGACGCUGGUGGCGAUCGCGGCGUCAACAGCGUUAAGGUUUUUUGUCUACACUAACAAUAAUUCAUAGAUUUCUGCAUUUUAAGGUCACAUGAGACAAAGUCCCAGUUAACCUAUUGUGAUCGCCUUUUGUCAGGCGUCAUACAUUUUCAACUUCUUCUUCUCCAAAACUGCUGAAUGUAUUUCAAUGAAACUUUGCAGGAAGCUCAAAAGUCCAAAGGUCAACCAAAAUUGUGAAUAAUUUGGUCCCCACACCGUGGGCCUGAGGUGCUGGGUCAUAAAUGGUGAAAUUGGUCAAAAAUCUUCUUUUCCACUCCCAGAUAGGGUGGAAUCAAAUACUCUUCAUAGAUAGAAAAGAUUUAAGGUACUUUACCAAAAUUAUGAAUUUCAUGAUUCUGGGGUCUCACGUUUGCCCCUGGGGAGGGGGUUUACUUUACUAUAGUUUAUAUAACGAAUUCACAUUUUAGGCUGUCAUUUGUUUGAUUUAUAUUGGAAUUCAUUCUAACUUGGUUAACAUUAUCAACAUGGGAUGUCAGCUUCAUGGUAUGCAAAUGUUGGCUUUGACUGACCACCAGGGGCUUACGGGUGGGGCUAAAAAGGGUCAAAUUAACUGAAAUAUUUCAAAACUCAGGUGACUGAUCAGGCCAUAGGCCUCUUGUGGGGUUAAAAAUCUCAUAUUUCUGGACUUUAGAAAAAAAUCAACGUUAAGGUUAAAUUGCUUUUAGCUCUAGCAUAUUGGGCUGUUUUUGACAAACUAUAUAAGCUAGGGCAACCAAACUUGGGUUAUAAAUGUAUCAUACAAUGACAGGGGUUACAAGGAUGUGGAGGAAACGUGCAAUUCAGUUCUAUAUAUAGAUUAGUAGGGUGUAGUAGAUAAAAAAUGGUGCAUUUUGUUGAUAUUAUUAUAUUAAUGCUAUAGGCAUGAUGUUUUUUACACUUUGUUGUUGUUGUGUUUUAUAUAUACUGAUCUCAUUUGUGUAUACUAGUCUGUGGCGUCAGUUUCAUGUCCUGUACAACAUGUUUUGUUCCUGUGUAAACAACUAAUAUUUUUGAAAAUCUAUCGGUGAUGAUUCAGAAUUGCAAAAAUUUUAUGCACAUUAGUUUAACGAGUAGUAUACAGAUCUAGAGAUGUGUAACGAGUGGUAUACAGAUAUAGAGAUGUGUAACGAGUGGUAUACAGAUCUAUAGAUAUGUAACGAGUGGUAUACAGAUCUAGAGAUGUGUAACGAGUGGUAUACAGAUAUAGAGAUGUAUAACGAGUGGUAUACAGAUCUAGAGAUGUGUAACCAGUGGUAUACAGAUCUAGAGAGAUGUGUAACCAGUGGUAUACAGAUCUAGAGAUGUGUAACGAGUGGUAUACAGAUCUAGAGAUAUGUGUAACGAGUGGUAUACAGAUCUAGAGAUGUGUAACGAGUGGUAUACAGAUCUAGAGAGAUGUGUAACGAGUGGUAUACAGAUCUAGAGAGAUGUAUAACGAGUGGUAUACAGAUCUAGAGAUGUGUUACGAGUGGUAUACAGAUCUAGAGAUGUGUAACAAGUGGUAUACAGAUCUAGAGAUAUGUAACGAGUGGUAUACAGAUCUAGAGAUGUGUAACGAGUGGUAUACAGAUGUAGAGAUGUGUAACGAGUGGUAUACAGAUCUAGAUGUGUAACAAGUGGUAUACAGAUCUAGAGAUGUGUAACGAGUGGUAUACAGAUCUAGAGAGAUGUGUAACGAGUGGUAUACAGAUAUAGAGAUGUGUAACGAGUGAUAUACAGAUCUAGAGAGAUGUGUAACGAGUGGUAUACAGAUCUAGAUGUGUAACAAGUGGUAUACAGAUCUAGAGAGAUGUGUAAUGAGUGGUAUACAGAUCUAGAGAGAUGUGUAACGAGUGGUAUACAGAUCUAUAGAGAUGUAUAACGAGUGGUAUACAGAUCUAGAGAUGUGUAACGAGUGGUAUACAGAUCUAGAGAUGUGUAACGAGUGGUAUACAGAUCUAGAGAGAUGUGUAACGAGUGGUAUACAGAUCUAGAUGUGUAACAAGUGGUAUACAGAUCUAGAGAGAUGUGUAAUGAGUGGUAUACAGAUCUAGAGAUGUGUAACGAGUGGUAUACAGAUCUAGAGAUGUGUAACGAGUGGUAUACAGAUAUAGAGAUGUGUAACGAGUGGUAUACAGAUCUAGAGAGAUGUGUAACGAGUGGUAUACAGAUCUAGAGAUGUGUAACGAGUGGUAUACAGAUCUAGAGAUGUGUAACGAGUGGUAUACAGAUAUAGAGAUGUGUAACGAGUGGUAUACAGAUCUAGAGAGAUGUGUAACGAGUGGUAUACAGAUCUAGAUGUGUAACAAGUGGUAUACAGAUCUAGAGAGAUGUGUAAUGAGUGGUAUACAGAUCUAGAGAGAUGUGUAACGAGUGGUAUACAGAUCUAUAGAGAUGUAUAACGAGUGGUAUACAGAUCUAGAGAUGUGUAACGAGUGGUAUACAGAUCUAGAUGUGUAACAAGUGGUAUACAGAUCUAGAGAUGUGUAACGAGUGGUAUACAGAUCUAGAGAGAUGUGUAACGAGUGGUAUACAGAUAUAGAGAGAUGUGUAACGAGUGGUAUACAGAUCUAUAGAAGUGUAACCAGUGGUAUACAGAUCUAGAGAUGUGUAAUGAGUGGUAUACAGAUCUAGAGAUGUGUAACGAGUGGUAUACAGAUAUAGAGAGAUGUGUAACCAGUAGUAUACAGAUAUAGAGAUGUGUAACGAGUGAUAUACAGAUAUAGAGAUGUGUAACAAGUGGUAUACAGAUCUAGAGAUGUGUAACGAGUGGUAUACAGAUCUAGAGAUGUGUAACGAGUGGUAUACAGAUCUAGAGAUGUGUAACGAGUGGUAUACAGAUCUAUAGAGAUGUGUAACGAGUGGUAUACAGAUCUAGAGAAGUGUAACCAGUGGUAUACAGAUAUAGAGAUGUAUAAUGAUGGGUAUACAGAUCUAGAGAUGUGUAAUGAGUGGUAUACAGAUCUAGAGAUGUGUAAUGAGUGGUAUACAGAUAUAGAGAUGUGUAAUGAGUGGUAUACAGAUCUAGAGAUGUGUAAUGAGUGGUAUACAGAUCUAGAGAAGUGUAACCAGUGGUAUACAGAUAUAGAGAUGUGUAAUGAGUGGUAUACAGAUCUAGAGAUGUGUAAUGAGUGGUAUACAGAUAUAGAGAUGUGUAAUGAGUGGUAUACAGAUCUAGAGAUGUGUAACGAGUGGUAUACAGAUCUAGAGAUGUGUAACGAGUGGUAUACAGAUCUAGAGAUGUAUAACGAGUGGUAUACAGAUCUAGAGAUGUGUAACGAGUGGUAUACAGAUCUAGAGAGAUGUGUAACCAGUGGUAUACAGAUAUAGAGAUGUAUAAUGAUGGGUAUACAGAUCUAGAGAUGUGUAACGAGUGGUAUACAGAUCUAGAGAGAUGUGUAACGAGUGGUAUACAGAUCUAGAGAAGUGUAACCAGUGGUAUACAGAUAUAGAGAUGUAUAAUGAUGGGUAUACAGAUCUAGAGAUGUGUCAUUGCUGGACUGUGUUAGUUAUUCUCUAUAAAGGGAGAUAAUUUAAAUCUUGUUAGACUUCGUUAAUUCAUGUUUUUAUAGUAAGAUUCCUUUAUGACGUAAAUAUUAUUUCAAAAAGAGCAGUUAAUUCUUGAUUUUGUUCUCAAAAAUUAUAAAUGCUGGUAUGAAGUCUAGUAAGAGGAGCAUGAUGGAUUAAAAUGAAUUAAAGAUGCGAAAAAUGCAUUCAAAUAUUGAUGAAUUAGACUUAUUAAAAUAAACUCUAGUCGAGUUGAAAUAAAGAGUUUUAAUCAGAGACUUAUGAUGACUGUUAAUUGACAUCCAAUUGUAAAUGGAAGUUUGACCAAAGUAACCAAUUCCUGUGAAACUUUAUUUCGAUCAUGAUCAGAACCUGAACCUCUAGUCAUGUUCUUAUAAAUUAUCAAAUUUUAAUUUUAUGAUUCCUCUUGGAGUUAUUGCCCUUGAAAUAUUUCCUUACAUUAAUGUUCAUGCAGGGAAUACAAUUAUAUAACAUUAGCGUUUGGUUUACAGUGGUAAUAUUUAAACAGAAAAUGGUUGGAUUAUUUUAGACCGAUAAAGUAGAAAUGAUUUUAGAGUCUAAGUAUACUGUCACCAUUAAGGUAAUUCCUUGUGCUUCUCUCUGUGUAUCAAACUCUUUUUAUUAUUUUUGUUUUGCCUGACAGCACCACAGCCUUGUUAACAUGUUAGGAUAAUAGAAUCUUACUAUCAAUCUGUAGGCUGAGGUUAUCUCAACCCAAGUGUUCAUGAGUUUAGCUUGUCAACGUACCAAGCUUGUAGGUACUGACCAACUCCUACAGGUCCAGGGUUGAGAUAUCCCUGUCCACAGAAAAAGACCCAUGUUUGAUUAUUUUCUCCCAUUCUUGAAAAUAAACAAUUUCCUGUUGGAUAUAAACGUUAAUUUAUCUUUCACAUUUACAUUGUCAGUUUAUAGGUGUGGGCCAAUACUUCAAAUUCUGAGUUUGAUUUUUUCCAAGAUCAUUGAAGUAUUGAAGUAUUUAGGAAUGUUUUAUUAACGAUGAGAUUCUGAGAUGAUGCGAUGUUUUUGAGAUUUUCACCAUUUUCUGUGUAAGUCAGAACAUGUAAUGUUAAUGACCUUGAAGGUGUUGUCAGGCCAGCAUUAUUUAUUUUGUUAAUAUUUAAAUCUUUGUCUUUUGCUGAAUAAAAUACACUACUGCAAACCC